UACGAAGGGGGCUAGCGUUGCUCGGAAUCACUGGGCGUAAAGCGCACGUAGGCGGAUUGUUAAGUCAGGGGUGAAAUCCUGGAGCUCAACUCCAGAACUGCCUUUGAUACUGGCGAUCUUGAGUCCGGGAGAGGUGAGUGGAACUGCGAGUGUAGAGGUGAAAUGCGUAGAUAUCUGGAGGAAUACCGGUGGCGAAGGCGGCAUCCUGGACCAUAACUGACGCUGAGGCGCGAAAGCUAGGGGAGCAAACGGG
rnacentral:rRNA from 1 species